rnacentral:rRNA from 1 species
GACGAACGCUGGCGGCGUGCCUAAUACAUGCAAGUCGAACGCACGAAGUUGAAGAGCUUGCUCUUUAACCAAGUGAGUGGCGGACGGGUGAGUAAUACGUGGGUAACCUGCCCAUUAGAGGGGGAUAACAUUCGGAAACGGAUGCUAAUACCGCAUAGUUUCAGGAAUCGCAUGAUUCUUGAAGGAAAGGUGGCUUCGGCUACCACUAAUGGAUGGACCCGCGGCGUAUUAGCUAGUUGGUGAGGUAAUGGCUCACCAAGGCAAUGAUACGUAGCCGACCUGAGAGGGUGAUCGGCCACACUGGGACUGAGACACGGCCCAGACUCCUACGGGAGGCAGCAGUAGGGAAUCUUCCGCAAUGGACGAAAGUCUGACGGAGCAACGCCGCGUGAGUGAAGAAGGUUUUCGGAUCGUAAAACUCUGUUGUUAAAGAAGAACAAGGAUGAGAGUAACUGCUCAUCCCCUGACGGUAUUUAACCAGAAAGCCACGGCUAACUACGUGCCAGCAGCCGCGGUAAUACGUAGGUGGCAAGCGUUGUCCGGAUUUAUUGGGCGUAAAGCGAGCGCAGGCGGUUCUUUAAGUCUGAUGUGAAAGCCCCCGGCUCAACCGGGGAGGGUCAUUGGAAACUGGAGAACUUGAGUGCAGAAGAGGAGAGUGGAAUUCCACGUGUAGCGGUGAAAUGCGUAGAUAUGUGGAGGAACACCAGUGGCGAAGGCGACUCUCUGGUCUGUAACUGACGCUGAGGCUCGAAAGCGUGGGGAGCAAACAGG